rnacentral:rRNA from 1 species
GACCCCACUGCUAUCGGGGUGGGACUAAAACAUGCAAGUCGAGCGCNNCCAAGCUAUGGUGAAGGCGCGGCAAACGGCUCAGUAACACGUGGCCAACCUACCCNUNGGGACGGAGACAACCCCGGGAAACUGGGGCUAAUCCCCGAUAGGUGAGGAAUCCUGGAAUGGAUCCUCGCCCAAAAGACGUUGAAUCCAUGCUAUUCAGCGUCGCCCAAGGAUGGAGCCGCGACCGAUCAGGUAGUUGGUGAGGCAACGGCUCACCAAGCCUAUAACCGGUACGGGCCGUGAGAGCGGGAGCCCGGAGAUGGGCACUGAGACAAGGGCCCAGGCCCUACGGGGCGCAGCAGUUGCGAAAACUCCGCAAUGCGCGAAAGCGUGACGGGGCUACCCCGAGUGCCGCCCGUUGAGGGCGGCUUUUCCACGGUGUAAGGAGCCGUGGGAAUAAGGAGAGGGCAAGACUGGUGUCAGCCGCCGCGGUAAUACCAGCUCUCCGAGUGGUGGGGACGAUUAUUGGGCUUAAAGCGUUCGUAGCCGGCUUAACAAGUCUUCCGUUAAAUCCAACGAUCUAAUCGUUGGGCUGCGGGAGAUACUGUUGGGCUAGGAGGCGGGAGAAGCCGACGGUAUUCUCGGGGUAGGGGUGAAAUCCUGUAAUCCCGGGAGGACCACCAGUGGCGAAGGCGGUCGGCUAGAACGCGCUCGACGGUGAGGGACGAAAGCUGGGGGAGCGAACCGGAUUAGAAACCCGGGUAGUCCCAGCUGUAAACGAUGCGGGCUAGGUGUUGGGGUGGCCACGAGCCACUUCAGUGCCGCAUGGAAGCAAUUAAGCCCGCCGCCUGGGGAGUACGGCCGCAAGGCUGAAACUUAA